UACGUAGGGUGCGAACGUUGUUCGGAAUCACUGGGCAUAAAGAGCGCGUAGGCGGUCUGAUAAGUCCUGUGUGAAAGCCCCCGGCUUAACCGGGGAAUUGCACAGGAUACUGUCAGGCUAGAGUGCAGGAGGGGAGAGCGGAAUUCCUGGUGGAGCGGUGAAAUGUGUAGAUAUCAGGAGGAACGCCGGUGGCGAAAGCGGCUCUCUGGUCUGCAACUGACGCUGAGGUGCGAAAGCUAGGGGAGCAAACGGG
rnacentral:rRNA from 1 species